rnacentral:rRNA from 1 species
ACUCCUACGGGAGGCAGCAGUGGGGAAUAUUGCACAAUGGGCGCAAGCCUGAUGCAGCCAUGCCGCGUGUAUGAAGAAGGCCUUCGGGUUGUAAAGUACUUUCAGCAGUGAGGAAGGCGGGUACGUUAAUAGCGUGCUUGUUUGACGUUAGCUGCAGAAGAAGCACCGGCUAACUCCGUGCCAGCAGCCGCGGUAAUACGGAGGGUGCGAGCGUUAAUCGGAAUUACUGGGCGUAAAGCGCAUGCAGGUGGUUUGUAAGUCAGAUGUGAAAGCCCGGGGCUCAACCUCGGAAUUGCAUUUGAAACUGGCAGACUAGAGUACUGUAGAGGGGGGUAGAAUUUCAGGUGUAGCGGUGAAAUGCGUAGAGAUCUGAAGGAAUACCGGUGGCGAAGGCGGCCCCCUGGACAGAUACUGACACUCAGAUGCGAAAGCGUGGGGAGCAAACAGGAUUAGAUACCCU